rnacentral:rRNA from 1 species
GAUGAACGCUGGCGGCGUGCCUAAUACAUGCAAGUCGAGCGAAUGGAUUAAGAGCUUGCUCUUAUGGAGUUAGCGGCGGACGGGUGAGUAACACGUGGGUAACCUGCCCAUAAGACUGGGAUAACUCCGGGAAACCGGGGCUAAUACCGGAUAACAUUUUGAACCGCAUGGUUCGAAAUUGAAAGGCGGCUUCGGCUGUCACUUAUGGAUGGACCCGCGUCGCAUUAGCUAGUUGGUGAGGUAACGGCUCACCAAGGCAACGAUGCGUAGCCGGCCUGAGAGGGUGAUCGGCCACACUGGGACUGGAACACGGCCCAGACUCCUACGGGAGGCAGCAGUAGGGAAUCUUCCGCAAUGGACGAAAGUCUGACGGAGCAACGCCGCGUGAGUGAUGAAGGCUUUCGGGUCGUAAAACUCUGUUGUUAGGGAAGAACAAGUGCUAGUUGAAUAAGCUGGCACCUUGACGGUACCUAACCAGAAAGCCACGGCUAACUACGUGCCAGCAGCCGCCGUAA